rnacentral:lncRNA from 1 species
UGUAUAUAUGAAAUAACUUCUUGGGUGAUGAGAUUGAAGUAUUCCAGGCAACACUUGCUCUUAUAAGCAUGAGCCCCUCCAUGAGGAUCACUCAGUUUCAACAAGGGAGAAAGAGAAUAAAGCUGAAGAACUAAGCCAGAAAAGAGAAAAGAGAUAGAAGCAAGAUGGAAGAAGGCACGUGCGGCAUCACCUCGAAACGGGGAGUUGACUAAGGUUACCUCAGACGAUGAACCCACUGAGUAAGUGUUCUCCUCUAUCUAAGUCCUAUCGAUAGACUUUAAAUUCUGUACCCUAGCCAUAAGGUUAGAAUGGUAGUUAUCUCUUUGAAUGCAUUUGUAAUUUAUUUAGUAGCAUAAUUUUGUUUACACACUAAACGAUAUAAAAACAACAAAAAUAUCAUUACUCAUGGCAUCACAAGCCCCAUGUGGAUACUCUAUGAAGGAACAUCCGCCGUGGUGGCAUAAAAUAAAAAUGACAAAAAUAUAGCAUUCAUAUUUAAAUUCCUGCAUCAUAAAUAGAAAAUUCAAAAAUAAAAAAGAGAAAAUUUAAAAUCAUGUUUAAAUUAGACAACAUUAAAGCUAGCCCAUUAACAAAUUCGAGCCUCAAGUUUUGGUUUUCUUUUUGGAGUGUAAUCAUGUAGGAACAACAUUAUGACAAGGAAAGAGUCUAUUAGUGGCACCCACCUGCGCUGCCGGUUAGCUCACUCUAAAGAUCAUCAACACCAACUAUUGUAAACAUCUAGCUUGGGGGAGGAGCAUCCCCUAGUUAUCAGGUAACUAUAUCUAGGCGAUUAUCGAGUCUAUUUUAUAUAGUCAUAAAAUACCAAAAAUAUGUGAGCACAUGAAGGUUCACAAUAGUAUCAUAAGAAAAUAUAAAAAUACCAAUAGUACAUGGGCACAUGAAGGUCCAUAUCCUUAAAGUCUUUUG